rnacentral:rRNA from 1 species
GAUGAACGCUGGCGGCGUGCUUAACACAUGCAAGUCGAGCGCACCUUCGGGUGAGCGGCGGACGGGUUAGUAACGCGUGGGAACGUACCCUUUUCUACGGAAUAGCCUUUGGAAACGAAGAGUAAUACCGUAUACGCCCUUUGGGGGAAAGAUUUAUCGGAGAAGGAUCGGCCCGCGUUAGAUUAGAUAGUUGGUGGGGUAACGGCCUACCAAGUCUACGAUCUAUAGCUGGUUUUAGAGGAUGAUCAGCAACACUGGGACUGAGACACGGCCCAGACUCCUACGGGAGGCAGCAGUGGGGAAUCUUAGACAAUGGGCGCAAGCCUGAUCUAGCCAUGCCGCGUGAGUGAUGAAGGCCUUAGGGUCGUAAAGCUCUUUCGCCUGUGAUGAUAAUGACAGUAGCAGGUAAAGAAACCCCGGCUAACUCCG